AGUGAACGCUGGCGGUAGGCCUAACACAUGCAAGUCGAACGGCAGCACAGUAAGAGCUUGCUCUUACGGGUGGCGAGUGGCGGACGGGUGAGGAAUACAUCGGAAUCUACUUUUUCGUGGGGGAUAACGUAGGGAAACUUACGCUAAUACCGCAUACGACCUACGGGUGAAAGCAGGGGAUCUUCGGACCUUGCGCGAGUGAAUGAGCCGAUGUCGGAUUAGCUUGUUGGCGGGGUAAAGGCCCACCAAGGCGACGAUCCGUAGCUGGUCUGAGGGGAGGAUCAGCCACCCUGGAACUGAGACACGGUCCAGACUCCUACGGGAGGCCGCAGUGGGGAAUAUUGGACAAUGGGCGCAAGCCUGAUCCAGCCAUACCGCGUGGGUGAAGAAGGCCUUCGGGUUGUAAAGCCCUUUUGUUGGGAAAGAAAAGCAGCAGGUUAAUACCCCGCUGUUCUGACGGUACCCAAAGAAUAAGCACCGGCUAACUUCGUG
rnacentral:rRNA from 1 species